AUUGAACGCUGGCGGCAGGCUUAACACAUGCAAGUCGAGCGGGGUGAUGGUGCUUGCACUAUCACUUAGCGGCGGACGGGUGAGUAAUGCUUUGGAAUCUGCCUAUUAGUGGGGGACAACAUCUCGAAAGGGAUGCUAAUACCGCAUACGUCCUACGAGAGAAAGCAGGGGAUCACUUGUGACCUUGCGCUAAUAGAUGAGCCUAAGUCGGAUUAGCUAGUUGGUGGGGUAAAGGCCUACCAAGGCGACGAUCUGGAGCGGGGCUGAGAGGAUGAUCCGCCACACUGGGACUGAGAAACGGCCCAGACUCCUACGGGAGGCAGCAGUGGGGAAUAUUGGACAAUGGGGGGAACCCUGAUCCAGCCAUGCCGCGUGUGUGAAGAAGGCCUUAUGGUUGUAAAGCACUUUAAGCGAGGAGGAGGCUCUUUUGGUUAAUACCCAAGAUGAGUGGACGUUACUCGCAGAAUAAGCACCGGCUAACUCUGUGCCAGCCGCCGCCGUAA
rnacentral:rRNA from 1 species